GAAUUGACGGGGGCCCGCACAAGCGGUGGAGCAUGUGGUUUAAUUCGAAGCAACGCGAAGAACCUUACCAGGUCUUGACAUCCUUUGACCACUCUGGAGACAGAGCUUUCCCUUCGGGGACAAAGUGACAGGUGGUGCAUGGUUGUCGUCAGCUCGUGUCGUGAGAUGUUGGGUUAAGUCCCGCAACGAGCGCAACCCUUGAUUUUAGUUGCCAGCAUUUAGUUGGGCACUCUAAAGUGACUGCCGGUGCAAGCCGGAGGAAGGUGGGGAUGACGUCAAAUCAUCAUGCCCCUUAUGACCUGGGCUACACACGUGCUACAAUGGAUAGUACAAAGGGUCGCGAAGCCGCGAGGUGGAGCUAAUCCCAUAAAACUAUUCUCAGUUCGGAUUGUAGGCUGCAACUCGCCUACAUGAAGCCGGAAUCGCUAGUAAUCGUGGAUCAGCAUGCCACGGUGAAUACGUUCCCGGGCCUUGUACACACCGCCCGUCACACCAUGGGAGUGGGUUGCAAAAGAAGUAGGUAGCUUAACCUUCGGGAGGGCGCUUACCACUUUGUGAUUCAUGACUGGGGUGAAGUCGUAACAAGGUAACCGUAGGGGAACCUGCGGUUGGAUCACCUCCUUA
rnacentral:rRNA from 1 species